UACGUAUGGUGCAAGCGUUAUCCGGAUUUACUGGGCGUAAAGGGAGCGCAGGCGGCGCGCCAAGUCUGAUGUGAAACCCCGGGGCUCAACCCCGGGCAUGCAUUGGAAACUGGCGGGCUGGAGUGCCGGAGAGGUAAGCGGAAUUCCUAGUGUAGCGGAGAAAUGCGUAGAUAUUAGGAGGAACACCAGUGGCGAAGGCGGCUUACUGGACGGCAACUGACGCUGAGGCUCGAAAGCGUGGGGAGCAAACAGG
rnacentral:rRNA from 1 species